AAUGGGAUAACUGGGUCAAAUGGCAGUUCCAUUCCAAGUUUUCUGAGAAAUAGCCAUACUGCUUUCCAUAGUGGUUGCACCAAUUUAUUGUCCCACCAGCAAU
rnacentral:pre_miRNA from 1 species